UCUGACGCUUUCACAAUAAACCAGAUAACUACAUUGUCAAGAUGUCCAGUUGGAUUUCUGUUAUUACUGUGGUUAUAACCUGCUGGCAAUGUUGCAGGUGUCAAGAAAGCUUAAAUCAGCCUUCAUCACUGACUGUGUCUCUGGGACAGAAGGCUGAAAUCACAUGUACAGGCAGUGUCAGUAGCAGCUGGCUUGCUUGGUACCAGCAGAAGCCUGGGAAAUCCCCUCAGUACCUGGGGGCUGACAGCAGCAGAGCCUCAGGAAUCCCAGAUCGUUUCUCUCUGACCAAAGAUACCUCUGCCAAAAUCGCUAAAUUAACCAUCUCUGGUGUUCAGGCAGAGGAUGAUGCUGAUUAUUACUGUGGUACAUAUUACUGGAGUGGUUCUACUUACACAUGCACAGUGAUACAGAAACACCAAGAGAUAAACAAAAACCCUCUGCUUCAGUGGCUCAGCUUCAGAGCUGAAUUCCUUAGAGAGCCUGAUCACUGA